rnacentral:lncRNA from 1 species
CCGACAAAAAUAGCCUUCAGCAAUGAAAACAAAAUGAAAGCCUUCUCAGAUGAAGUAAAACUGACAAUUUGUCACCAGUAGACCUACUCUAAAAUAAAUGCUAAGGCCCACCAGAAGCAGUUUGUGUUCAGCUGGCAAGGCUAUCACCUUCAUUGUCCUAUCUCAAAGAUUUUCUGGUCAGUGGAGUUGGAAUGAGAAAAAUCAAUCAGUGCCCUACCAAUGCAUCAUCCAGCAAGACUAAGAAAUCCUCAACUACUGGGACAAGGUGGGAGAAUAUUUCAUUUCUUUACCAGUGUCUGUCCUCUGGCUCAGUGACUCCCAGAACUUGACUCAUCAGAAAACCAGGGAUCCAUGACUCAAUGAGUGAAUACCAUCUUGUCCUGAGUUCCCACAUGCCAUCAUGAUGACCAUCCUAUGCAAUUUGGAAUUUUGGCCCUAAAUGAUCUUUCUCAACAAAUCAGAUGUAGUACAACAUGAAGAAAUGGGAGUUUACCAAGAAAAUUGUGGAACACAAAUACCAGAGACCUGGGUCCUCA